rnacentral:rRNA from 1 species
AUUGAACGCUGGCGGCAGGCCUAACACAUGCAAGUCGAGCGAGUGGCGGACGGGUGAGUAAUGUCUGGGGAACUGCCCGAUAGAGGGGGAUAACUACUGGAAACGGUGGCUAAUACCGCAUACUAUCGGAUGAACCCAGAUGGGAUUAGCUAGUUGGUGGGGUAAAGGCUCACCAAGGCGACGAUCUCUAGCUGGUCUGAGAGGAUGAUCAGCCACACUGGGACGGAGACACGGUCCAGACUCCUACGGGAGGCAGCAGUGGGGAAUAUUGCACAAUGGGCGCAAGCCUGAUGCAGCCAUGCCGCGUGUAUGAAGAAGGCCUUAGGGUUGUAAAGUACUUUCAGCGGGGAGGCGUUACCCGCAGAAGAAGCACCGGCUAACUCCGUGCCAGCAGCCGCGGUAAUAC